AGGAUUCUGGACCGGGAAUCCAUGGGCGAGGACUACUUCUGGGCCAUCAGAGGCGGCGGCGCAGCAAGCUUCGGCAUCGUCCUCUCAUACAAGAUCGAGUUGAACUACGUUCCGCCCAUCGUCACCGCAUUCAACGUGAUCAAGACCUUAAAGCAAGACGCCACAAAGCUGGUCACCAAGUGGCAACAGAUCGGCCCCAACCUCGACGAGAACCUGUACAUACGGGUCAUCUCGCUAGCGAUAGACGACGACGAAGCAGAGGGGAACAGGACCAUCCAAGCCGUGUUCAACUCCCUCUACUUGGGAACGUGCAAAGAGCUCCUCACCGUGAUGGGGAGCAGCUUCCCCGAGUUGGGGUUCGAGGCGGCAGACUGCAACGAGAUGAGUUGGUUGGAGUCCGUUCUGUUCUUCGCAAACUACUCCGGCAGACCGACCGAGGUCUUGUUGGAUAGGAAGCUGGAAUUCGACUUCUCCUUCAAGGCGAAAUCGGACUUCGUGAGAGAACCUGUGACAGAGACAACAUUGGAAGAGAUAUGGAGGUUUCUGAUGGAAGCGAAGGAUGAACCCGUGUUACUGUUCAUGGAGCCCUUCGGUGGGGUUCUGAACGAGAUAGCAGAGUCGGCGACUCCCUUCCCAUACAGGAAAGGGAAUCUGUACAUCAUCCAGUACUACAUGUGGUGGCUUGAGACGGACAUGGAGACAACGGAGAGGCACCUGAGUUGGAUGAGGAAGCUGUAUGCCUUGAUGACUCCGUACGUCUCUAAGAACCCGAGGGCAGCCUAUCUCAACUACAAGGAUAUCGACCUGGGAAGAACCGCUAAUGUUUGGGGUCCCAAGUACUUCAAGAACAACUUCAACAGGUUGGCGUACGUGAAGAGUAAGGUUGACCCACACAACUUCUUUCGGAAUGAACAAAGCAUUCCGCCUAUCAAGUCGCCGAAAACCUUUGACGAGAGGGAGGGAGAGAGAGAGAGAGAGAGAGAGAGAAUCCUGAGGUGUCACAUUAUCUCAAGUCAUAGUAAUGUUCAGCAGGUAUCUACAUUGGCAACAACAGAAAAUUUAUGCCUUGUUGGCAGCAAUAGCAAUUACAUGUAAAGCAAAUGGAUUCAACCUUAUCAUAGUGAAAUGGUGGGGUACAUGCAAGCAGCAAAUCAAUUGUGGCCCACACAAGAGAAAAGAGCCAUUACACAUCAGCAUGCCCAAAGCCAUGUACUCAGUAUUUAAGAAACCAUAUUUGAAGUUAAGGCUGACCAUCCAGAAGCAAAAUUUUGACUACAGAACUAGACAUGCCCCAAAAAAAUGCCCGGAUGCUUCUCCUACAUAUUCCAUCUCCAUAUCUAAAGACAAGUAAAAGCCCGUCUGCCAUGGAUGAUCAACCAUAAAGGAGAGAAUCUGAACAUAACAACAAGUGGAGAUAUCAUCUCAUUCUUCGUCCUCGAUGAAAUCUAAGCUUCCUUUCCAUCUCUCAAGCUCUCUUCCCGACUACAUUCCAUCUCUCUCUCACACACACACACAUUCAAUUUGUUGUAGACUUUUAAGGCAUGUCUUCCUUUCGCAAUUCUCAAACCAUGAGCAAAGAAGCUGGGGUGGAAACUUCUGCGUCGUAGUGCCGUGGACACAUGAAGGAGAAGAGGAUGAUUGGUGGCGGCUGAGAACUAGUUGCCCGUUGGAGAAGAUUAUGAUGGGUCUUGGAGACGAAGGUUUUUGAAAAGGAUGUGAGUGAGACCUGUCAUGCCAAAUAAUUUCAUGUGGAAUUCUAUACAGUUCCAACAUAUAUGAGAAUAAUCUCCCACCGUUCCUCAUAUCUGAGCUAAUGGCUCAAUCUUUUGGAAUUUAUCACGAAAUAACACACAAGAACUGAUGUGAAACCUCCAAAGAACUGUUUCUCCAAACUGCAUAAACUAUGUGUGUGUGUAUAUAUAUAUAUAUAUUGGUGGAUUGAUGGUCAAUCACACGUGUUCUUGAAAGCAAACUUCAUGCCCAUGCAGUAGUAAUAUCGUGUUCUCGAAGGAAAAGCUGAGAUGGACAACCAUUACCAUAGUCCACGAUUCAUGCAGACCAUAAGAAAAGUCCAUGUGUAGGAUAAGAACGUAUCAUGUCAUCCAUAUAUAUCAUAACAAGUCAGUCAUCAUUUCAAUCUUCCUUUGGUAAAAUACAAAGACUGUUCAGCGGUAGCUUCUGAUAUGUGAAAGAGAGACGUGUGUUGACUCUAAAACGGGAGUCUCUGCUACAUGGCACAAACCAUUCAACGAUGUCCAAUCCCAUCCACUCGAGCAACAUGCAGAAAACCUUCCAAGUUUCAACACCUCAAUUUAGCAAUCUUAUGCACUUCAAUUAUUACGCAUGAUUGCUCAUCCUGCAUUCGGAGCAGGAAAGAAGUCGAAUGGUAUGGACAUGAUAUACAAGUUAUUUACGGGUGGCUUCAAAGAUGUCACAGCUCAUACGAGAUUCAACAGGCAUUAUUAAUAUUGCUUGUGUGGAUAAUACGCAAGCUGGAUUCAAUCUUUCAAAGAUAUGCCACAGCAGACUUGUGAUGUUGAGUUCAAGAAACAUCCAAAAUAUUUCCAAAUCUUCAAUGCUGAGCAUGCAGACAAUGACUUCCAAGGAAAAUAUCAGCUGCCCAAGAAAACAUAUAGGAUUUUCUUUUUUGAUAUGCUUAUGCAAAUAAAAUUAUGCAGACAAUGGCAUCAAUUUAAUGCGUUCUUUAAAACUUCUUAUGCAAGUUUAUGACCAGAAAUGCUUAUGUUUUAUGAUGAUGUGAAUCCACGAAAAGUCUGAUGUGGAUUCGGAUAAACCUGUUUGGUCGGAAUGAGGAGUUCUAUGACCGAGAAGUUGCAGCAUAAAAGGUGACAAAAAGGAAAUGAAGCAUUUGUCUUUGUUGUCAUUAUGUGAUGAGACUUCACGUAAGUAAAUUGACUUCUCAAUGAUUUGCCUUGCAAUCAAGCAGGUUUACGUGAUCUCCUUGCAACCAUGCACGUGUACAUAAAUAAGACCUUGUUAUUAUUCAUUCUAUUGACAGUACUCGGUGAUUAUGGAUUUGUAGGCAUCAAAUAUAUAAAAUUAAUGUUAUCUUAUUUUUAUGAUAUUAUGGAUGUAGCUUUUAGCCUAAGUUAUAUCAUUGAUACGAUCAUAAACUCGUGCAAUCUAACAAGGACAUGCAUCGAAAGAAGAUUAAUUAGUGAUCAGCAAACGUUGCAUAAACUAUCCAUGGAAGCGUGAAUAAAAUCCAAUAUCCUUGAUCAUUUUAUAUAUUAUAUUUAUAUUUAUAUAGUUUAUCUCGAAGCUAAUGGUCUCCACGUAUAUUUUUAACAAGUAUUUGUAAAUGAUAUUUUGAUUGGGGUUUUCAAUAUAUGUCAUCCAUUUGUCGAUCUACAUUCUACAUGCAAGCUGUGUAGAUAAAGUCAAACAUUGAGAAAAGUAAACGCCGAAUCCAAAUACAUCUUUCACACUUCUUCUGCACGUCCAAAACCUCACAUGUCUUUCUCCUAUAUAAACCAACCAUCCAUGGAGAGAUCUCAUCAGCAAUAGAGGAAGAAGACUGAGCUCAAACAACAAUGGCGUUACCGGCCUCAUUAAGCCUUGCAGUUCUUUCUCUUCUUCUCACAGCCAACUCCGCCAUCAGCUCUCUCGACGCCACGCAUGAAAGCUUCAUCCAGUGCUUCCUUGACCACACUCGUCCCUCUAACUCGUCCUCCCAACUCGUGUACUCGCCUAACACCACCACCUACGAUGCCGUCCUCCGAUCAUCCAUCCAAAACAUCCGCUUCCUCUACUCGUCGAGCACGACGAAGCCCGUCCUCAUCGUGACCGCGACCAACGAGUCGCACGUCCAGGCCGCCGUCGUCUGUAGCAGGAAGCACGGCCUCCGCGUCCGGGUCCGAAGCGGCGGCCACGACUACGAGGGCAUGUCGUACGUGUCGGAAGGCGAUCGGUUCAUUAUCGUCGACCUCGCUGCUCUCCGGUCCAUCACGGUCGAUGCCGAGCACGGCACGGCCUGGGUUCAGGCGGGUGCAACGCUCGGAGAGGUCUACUACACCAUCGCGGAGAAGAACAGGACCGUCGGGUUCUCGGCCGGUAUCUGCCCAACGGUCGGUGUCGGCGGCCACUUCAGCGGCGGCGGGAUAGGCACCCUGUCGAGGAAGUACGGCACCGCGGCUGACAACAUCGUGGAUGCCCGGUUGGUGGACGUCAACGGAAGGAUUCUGACCCGGAAAUCCAUGGGCGAGGACUACUUCUGGGCCAUCAGAGGCGGCGGCGCAGCAAGCUUCGGCAUCGUCCUCUCAUACAAGAUCGAGUUGAACUACGUUCCGCCCGUCGUCACCGCAUUCAACGUGAUCAAGACCUUAAAGCAAGACGCCACAAAGCUGGUCACCAAGUGGCAGCAGAUCGGCCCCAACCUCGACGAGAACCUGUACAUACGGGUCAUCGCGCAAGCCAUGGACGACGACGAAGCAGAGGGGAACCGGACCAUCCAAGCCGUGUUCAACUCCCUCUACUUGGGAACGUGCAAAGAGCUCCUCACCGUGAUGGGGAGCAGCUUCCCCGAGUUGGGGUUCGAGGCGGCAGACUGCAACGAGAUGAGUUGGUUGGAGUCCGUUCUGUUUUUCGCAGGCUACUCCGGCAGACCGAGCGAGAUCUUGUUGGAUAGGAGGCCGGAGUUCAACAGCUCCUUCAAGGCGAAGUCGGACUUCGUGAGAGAACCUGUGACAGAGACAGCAUGGGAAGAGAUAUGGAGGUUUCUGAUGGAAGCGAAGGAUGAACCCUUGGUACUGAUCAUGGAGCCCUUCGGUGGGGUUCUGGAUGAGAUAGCAGAGUCGGCGACUCCCUUCCCAUACAGGAAAGGGUAUCUGUACAUCAUCCAGUACUUCAUGAGGUGGUUUGAGACGGACAUGGAGACAACGGAGAGGCAUCUGAAUUGGAUGAGGAAGCUGUAUGCCUUGAUGACUCCGUACGUCUCUAAGAACCCGAGGGCAGCCUAUCUCAACUACAAGGAUAUCGACCUGGGAAGAACUUACAGGGUUUGGGGUCCCAAGUACUUCAACAACAACUUCAAGAGGUUGGCGAACGUGAAGAGCAAGGUUGACCCACACAACUUCUUCAGGAAUGAACAAAGCAUUCCGCCUAUCAUGUCGCUCUAAGGAUACGUCUUCACGUAUACAUCUAUGAGCUUCAUUAUGUUGUAUUGAUAUAAUAAUUCCAUCGUAGAGAUGUAAGAGUAUGCAUGAUGUGCUACGAUUAGGUUGUAUAAGCAAUAAAUCAUGAAAUAAAGGUCAGCGAGUUCAUGCCAAUGAACAACAACAAUAGACUCGACGAUGACAUAGAGAGAGAGAGAGAGAGAGAGCAUCCUGCGGUGUCACUUGAGCUCGAGUCAUAGUAAUGUUCAGCUGGUAUCGACAUUGUCAGCAUGCCCAAAGAAGUCCAAUGCCAUGUACUUGCAGUAUAAGAAACCAUGUUUGAAGUUUAGACUGACCAUCCAGAAGCAAAAUUUUGACUGCAUAACGAGACAUGCCCCCAAAAGAUUGCCUGGAUGACUCUACCACAUAUUCCAUCUCCAUAUCUAAAGCCAAGAAGAAGGUCAUCUGCCAAGGAAGAGCAACCAUAAAGGAAAGAAUCUGAACAUAAUACCAAGUGGAGAUAUGCAUGAUGGCCCAGAAAUUAGAUGUUUAGAAAUCCUUCCCGUAGCAGCUUGACUGAAGGCAGGAACUAAGCAUGGCGAAACCAACAAAAAAGCAUUAGAAAGAUUGAUCAGAAAAUGUAACAAGGUGGAAGGCAACAUAAGCCUUGGUCAAAGUACUUGAAAUGUAAAUUACCCAACAGAUUAAAUUCCUUGAUGCAACUUAGCAUGAAUCAUAAAAUCAAUACCCAUGAUGACACCACAAAGAAACAAAUUCUAUUUAAGCAGAUAAGAUAAUUCCUGGCUACACACAACAAAGAUAUAUAUAAAAAAAGAUUCUAUCAGUUGAACUUCCAAGUAAAUAUCAACUUAGGCUGGAUCAUAUAAUCAGUACCCAAAAAUUACCAUGCAAUCAUGAUGAUGCUACAAAGAAAAAAAAAUAUACUAAGCAGACAAGAUAAUUCCAAGGAAAUAUAUUUUUAUUUUUAUAUUUAUUUAAUAUAGAUUAUUUCUAUUUAAUAUAUUAACAAAUAUGAUCUCAUCCUAUUUGGAAUGCUUAAUAGUUAUUUCCUAAUUUACAACGGCAAGUAAGAAAAAUAAAAUUUAAAUCCUGUUAGUGUAAACAACCUUUAAGUCGUGGCCUUGGGACCGAGGCGACUUGAUUCGGGUCCGAAUGAUAGGGAUUUUCCCAAGACGGCCUUUGAGUCCGCCGAGGUGGUCGACCGCGGUGGUCGAGACGAUGUCGUAGUCCACUCCGAGCAAGAAUUCGCCUUCGAGUUUCGUAGGGACCAUCGGCAUCGCCCCUGCACAAAGGUCGAGUCGGGGUGCUCGGCUCGACCCCUCCGACGAUCAAGUUAGUCGAUGUAAAGGGGAAGUCAGACGGAGAAGUUCUCCCCCCCUUUCCUCUUUGGAAUAUGAGGGUACUUACAGGGAAGCUUACUAUUUCCUAACGUGCCCGCUUGCAGGGGGCAGGGUGAUGACGUCUGAUACUGGUGUUGGCGUGGCGUGAAGAAUCGAGCCUGAGCAAGCGUAAAUGCGCCUCGGCCGACGUUCUGGUCCGUUUGACCAGGUGAUGUCACGUCGAUCGAGGCGUGAGGCGUCAUUAGACGUCAGCCGAGUCUCAUCAUAAUUACUAUCCUCAUCAAAUCCCAAUCUUAAAUAUUUGAUUUGAUUACAGAUUGAUUAUAGACAGAAGGAUAACAUUAAUAAUAUAUAACUGUCAUUACUCAUAACGAGACUUAAUAUUAUAUUAUUAUAUUUUUGAAACUUAUUCACUUAUUUUAUAAAAUUUAUACGCACAUGUAAAAUAUUUUUUCAAAAAAUUCAGAAUCCAAUUAAGUAAAUUAUUUUUAAAUAUAUUUUUUAUUUUACUUAUUUUGAUUUAAAAGUUUUUUAUGCCUUACGAAUUAAUAAGCCAACUUGGAGAAUGUUAUGUUAUGUGAUCCUAUCUUAAUAUAUUAUAAAUCUGAUUGAUUCUGAUUAAUAUAAAAAAAUUCAAAUAUAGUAUGAUUUAUUAGGAGAUUAACUUGAUGGGAGCAGUCCUUCCCUAUAAAUAAACAAGAAUUUUAGAGCUGAGAUAUUAUAGAUUUUUUCUUUUCUAUCUUUAGUGAAAAAUUAGUGGUGGUCGGAGAUGACAGACUAACAAUCGCUGUAAGUUUCAAAUCCAUAUCAAAGAUUUUCUAAAUAAAGUAUGCAAUUCUAUUUUUAAUUUUUGAUUUUAGUAUUUUUUUAGAACAGAUGCAUAAUUAUAGUUUUAUGCUUACACUCGUAUCUUUCCCUUGUAUAAAACUACAACCCAUGGCGAGAUCUCAUCAGCAGAAGACGAAGAAGAGUGAGCCCAAACAACAAUGGCGUUAUCAGCCUCAGCAAGUCUUGCAGUUCUUUCUCUUCUUCUUACAGCCACCUCCGCUAUCAGCUCUCUCAACGCCACCCAUGAAGGCUUCAUGAAGUGCUUCCUUGACCAAACUGGUACCUCCAACUCAUCCUCCCAACUCUUGUACUCCCCCAACACCACAGCCUACGACGCCAUCCUCCGAUCAUCCAUCCAAAACAUCCGCUUCAUCUACUCGUCGAGCACGACGAAGCCCGUCCUCAUCGUGACCGCGACCAACGAGUCGCACGUCCAGGCCGCCGUCGUCUGUAGCAGGACGCACGGCCUCCGCGUCCGGGUCCGAAGCGGCGGCCACGACUACGAGGGCAUGUCGUACGUGUCGGAAGGUGAUCGGUUUAUCAACGUCGACCUCGCUGCUCUCCGGUCCGUCACUGUCGAUGCCGAGCACGGCACGGCCUGGGUUCAGGCGGGUGCAACGCUCGGAGAGGUCUACUACACCAUCGCGGAGAAGAACAGGACCGUCGGGUUCUCGGCCGGUGUCUGCACCACGAUUGGUGUCGGCGGCCACUUCAGCGGCGGCGGGAUAGGGACCUUGUCGAGGAAGUACGGCACCGCUGCUGACAACAUCGUAGAUUUGCGAUUGGUGGACGCCAACGGAAGGAUACUGGACCGGGAAUCCAUGGGGGAGGACUACUUCUGGGCCAUUAGAGGCGGCGGCGCAGCAAGCUUCGGCAUCGUCCUCUCCUACAAGAUCGAGUUGAACUACGUUCCGCCCAUCGUCACCGCAUUCAACGUGAUCAAGACCUUAAAGCAAGACGCCACAAAGCUGGUCACCAAGUGGCAGCAGAUCGGCCCCAACCUCGACGAGAACCUGUACAUACGGGUCAUCGCGCUAGCCAAGGACGACGACGAAGCAGAGGGGAACCGGACCAUCCAAGCCGUGUUCAACUCCCUCUACUUGGGAACAUGCAAAGAGCUCCUCACCGAGAUGGGGAGCAGAUUCCCCGAGUUGGGGUUCGAGGCGGCAGACUGCAACGAGAUGAGUUGGUUGGAGUCCGUUCUGUUCUUCGCAGGCUACUCGGGUAGACCGACCGAGGUCUUGUUGGAUAGGAGGCCGGAGUUCAACAGCUCCUUCAAGGCGAAGUCGGACUUCGUGAGAGAACCCGUGACAGAGACAACAUUGGAAGAGAUAUGGAGGAUUCUGAUGGAAGCGAAGGAUGAACCCUUGGUACUGAUCAUGGAGCCCUUCGGUGGGGUUCUGGAUGAGAUAGCAGAGUCGGCAACUCCCUUCCCUCACAGGAAAGGGAAUCUGUACAUCAUCCAGUACUUCAUGAGGUGGUUUGAGACGGACGUGGAGACAACGGAGAGGCACCUGAAUUGGCUGAGGAAGCUGUAUGCCUUCAUGACUCCGUACGUCUCUAAGAACCCGAGGGCAGCCUAUCUCAACUACAAGGAUAUCGACCUGGGAAGAACUG
rnacentral:lncRNA from 1 species